UACGUAGGGGGCAAGCGUUGUCCGGAUUUAUUGGGCGUAAAGAGCUCGUAGGCGGUUCAGUAAGUCGGGUGUGAAAACUUUGGGCUUAACCCAAAGCGUGCAUCCGAUACUGCUGUGACUUGAGUUCGGUAGGGGAGUGGGGAAUUCCUAGUGUAGCGGUGAAAUGCGCAGAUAUUAGGAGGAACACCGGUGGCGAAGGCGGCAUCCUGGACCAACACUGACGCUG
rnacentral:rRNA from 1 species